GGGAGCCACGAGGGCGCUCUGCGCAGUCCCUCGCCGGGAGGCGAUGGAGGAGGCUGCAGGAAGGCGUCGGGAUCCGCCCCGGCCGGCGAGCCGUACCGAUAGCGAUGGAGGUGUGAGUGCUUCAGUUUGUUCUGCUCUCAUCAGCGGGAGUGAGUGAGACGGGGCUGUGCUUCUGCGGCCUCGGCACUGCUGGGAGAGAGGAGCAACGCGAAGGGCUGCUAAAACCAGGUGUUCUCCUACUGGAGCUGCAGCAGAGCCUCUCUUCAUCCCAAACCAGCGAGGUUGUGGAAGUGUUGAGAGUUUAGGAGUCAGUAGGCGAGCUCUCUCCCCUUGGGACUUGGGUAGGGUUGCUGCUGAGCUAUCUCUGUUUCUUUGGGAUCAGCACGGUGCUGCUCUUGGAGGCCAAGGGAGACCUCUGGGUGGCCUCAGCCCCCCAAAAGGGUUUGUAGGUCCUUCAGCUCCUGCCUCCAGCAGCGGGAGCGAGCAGCAGGAUGGGACUGGGUGUUUCCACCUUCCUUAUGUGCAUGACCUCAUUCCCAUCGUGGUGGGUGAACUUGUAUGCCUGGAAUGCUGUUUGUUACGGAUUGCAUGUUUUUUUUCCAGAAGGACAAUCCAGCAGGGUGAUGGAGUUGCUUUUCAGGUGAGAGAGCUGGAAAGGAUUGAGCCCUGCCUAGGGAUGAAUGAACAACUAGAGGAGUGCUUGUGAGCUGUGACUGCUGAGGAUGCUCCUUGACGAUCCUGGAUCCCAGAGGAAAGCGUCUUUGAGGAAGGAUGCCUUCCUGAUUGCAGAGGAGGCGGCAAAGAUCACGUGGACAAAAUUGGUGCCCCCCAGGUCCUAGUGGGACGUGCCUGUGUGUGGCGAAGGAGCUGGCAGAAGUGAGCACCAGCUGGCUCUGUGUCACAUUCUUUAUGAUGUUUUCUAUAGGAAAGUUGUGUGAGGACGGGAGGAUAGCCAGCAUCACGGCAGCCUUCAAAAAGGGUGUCAUUUCCAAGGAACUUGAAGAGUUUGCUAGGAAGCAGUCAAGGUGGCAUCACUGAGGGGAAAUUGUGCUGCUCCAACCUGGGAGCGUCAGGUCAGAAGAGCAGGGGAUGCUGCAAACCUGACUUCGGUGUUUCUGUUGGCGUUUUUGUAAUGAACUUAACAAGUGUGAGAUGGUGACCUGGAUGAAGGGAGAGUCUCUAAUGUCGGUGAGUGAGCGGAUGAUGCGAAGCUGGGAGGAGCAGUGACAUUCAGCGGGACCCCAUAAACUGUGGAGAGCAGGCAUGGGGUUGUGCAACUGGAGAGGAAUAACAGCAUGUACUGUUACCAGUUAGGAACUGGUCUGCUGGAAGGGUGACUGGAGGAGAAGGACUCUUUGGUCAGCUGUGAGCCAGUGGCCCCAGAAAGCCAAGGCUGUCCUGGGGUGUGAUGGAGUUCUGCCCUGGUGAGGCUGUGUGGAGUAUUUGACUCUGCAGGUCAAGCAGAGGGGAAAGCUGUACAUGGGGUCUAAUGGAGGGCAAUGAUGAGGGGCCUGGAGCAUCUCCCUGUGGAGGACUGGAUGAGGACCUACAGCUGUUUGAUGAAGAGAAGGUGAGUGGAAUCUCCUUUUUGUUAGUAAAUAUCUUAAAUGUAGGAGUGUAGCAAUAUGAUGGGGUGACAUUUGUGGUUGUGAAUGCCAGAAGUUCUGCAUAAACAGAAGGAGUGAUUUGUUGGAGAGUGAUGGUAUAGGCUAACUGGAGAGUUUGGAAAUGGUCAUGUUGAGUGCGGUUGCCUUCCUGGGUGAUGUGGUAUAGGGAAGCUGCUUUAGCAAGGGAGCCUUUCCAAUCCUCUGUGGUUCUGUGACUGUCAUUUGGUUUCAGGAUGGAGGCUGCAAAGGAGUGUUUUUUUUGGCAAGGAUCUGCCUGAACAUGAGUGGUGGAAUGGAGGAGGUAAGAGCCCUCAGCUGUGUUGUGUAGGUGUGGAGGCUCCUUUGUCAGAGGUUUGGUGCUGGAACAAGGAUUGCUGUGUGACUGCCUCUACAGAGGAAGGUGUUUUUCCAGUGGAGUGGAAUUGAUGGAGCUUCACUUGGGCUGUAGCAGAAGAAUUGGAGCUGACUUAACAGGUUGUCUACUUCAGCACUAUGGUGUGUCAGACUUGCUUGACUCACCAAAUGAAACCAGUACUUUUCCAGUGUUUGCAUUGUUGCAGCGGAAUUCCUGGAGAGAAGCGUUGCUUGAGUUUGGUAGGGCUUCUCGAGUGUGAAGGUAGGUGUGCUGUCCUGAGAGCUGAGCGGCGUUGACUCUUGCAAAAAGAUGGUUUCCUUUUUUCAGAUAGGUAAGUCAAACCACUCUCAGCAAACCAAUGGAGAAACCAGAGACUAGUGCAUCUCUCCGGUACCCUUUGGGUCAAGUUAGGAAUCAGAAAGCAGCCUGGGUUGGAAGGAACCUGUGUCUCCAAGCUCUGCAUUGCUCUGCCUCAACUUCAGUUGCAUCUCUGUGAGUCUCAUCAAAGCCUGGGGAUGACCAGUGUCAAUGACAGUUUGCAUUCUGGUUCUACUCAAUUUUCACAUUUUCAGAUUCAAAGAAACAAUUUCUACACUAGGAGGAACUUAGCUGUGACACCUGGGCACAAAUUACACCUUUGGAGACAAACUUCAAGAUUUGCAAACUUCAAGAUUUGUUUCCUAUAGGUACAGGCCUGAAUCAAACACCCCUUCUGCAUCACGUUGCAGCCUGCUUCCCAAGGUUUCCAGAUGACUCAAACAUUUUUAUCUUCAUUUUUACUGCAGAGUCAGCAGUUAGUUAAUACAUGAACUGAAAUAAAACAAAAAACAACCACUGACAAGAGGGGAAGGUAGAAAACACUCUUGCUGUGAAACAGGCUCCAGGCACAGAGUGGUUCCCUCUGCUUGCUCCAGUUACAGCUCAGAGGCUCAUUCCUCAGAAGCAAAAUCUUAUAAGUAAACAUGGAGCUGAGCCUCUCUCUGCCCUUUAUUCCCUCCCAUGAAGCCUAUUUUUUUUUUAUCCCAUUCAACUCAAAGGCACCCUCAGAACAGUGGACUAAAUCUCUGCCUGUAAUAAAAUAAAUCUAAUUCUGGUCACAUUAAAAUACAUCACAGACCUUCAAAGGAAUAGUACUAGGCUGCCUAAUGAAAAAUAGAGUGCUUCAAGUGAGAUAAACCAACAUUCUGACCGUAAGCAAGAACAAACUGGGAUCUGGUGUCACAGGAUAUUCCUUCUCUCUGGGUUUUUGCAUAUUAACCAGCAGACAGAUUUGUGGAAGAUGACUUAUUGCUCUCAGUUUUACCACAAGGAAAAUACAUAAUGUUUCUAGCUGAUCGGUAACAUGAAGUUCAACUCUGUCCCAGUACGUUCAUGCAUGGCCUAACAAGUGAAAUUACUUAAAAGAGAGCCCUCGUGUCAAAAAAGGCUUUACAAAAAUGACUCAGGGAUUUUUCAGCUACUUGCCCUUACUGAGUGCAGAGCCCUCUGUCCCUCUAAGCUUUAGCAGCUCUGUAUGACUAUUAUUGAAUGGGAACCUCCAUUAUCUCAGUGCUGACUGAGGUACCAAUGCCCAUUGGGGUGACUGAGGGAAAGGGCAGUGAGUGUUUGCUUUGGCUGCUUAGCCAAGCUAGACUUAUGUUAUGCAUCCUGAUUUAAAUGUAAUGUGGAGAUGUAACAUGGAUGCCCCAUCCCUGGAGGCAUUCAAGGCCAGGCUGGAUGUGGCUCUGGGCAGUGUGGUCUGGUGGUUGGUGACCCUAUGCAGAGCAGGGGGGUUGGAACUAGAUGAGCAUUGUGGUCCUUUGCAACCCAGACCAUUCUAUGACAAGUGAAUCAAACAGACUUUUAACAGAGGAAAAUAAAAAAGAGGAAACCAUAGAUGUCACGUACAAACAUCUGAGAAAUAUCUCAGAAUUGACAAAAACAAAAAAAAUAAUCUGAGCAAAAGUUAACAUUUGCUCCUUUUUAUUUUGAGCAAUGUUAAAUACAGUUUCCCUGCACUUUGCAGUGUCAGCUAACAGCCUGCUAUAUCCUUAGCUCAGCCAUAGCUGGAAGGAUCAGUCCCUUUACAGACACCCACACAGUCCAUCUUUCCCUGCCCCAUUGGCCACCAGUUCACACACACAAGGAAUCAUCCAGUAGGUACAAUGACCAGUCACCACUGCAGCUGUUGCUGUGCCUUUGAAGGAAACACAAAGUUACUGCUUGUCUUUCUUCCCCUCCUCCUUUCUGAAGGCUUCUAGGCUGUAAGCGUGCAGGAGAAAACUGGAACUGCUUAGGCCUCCCCUGCAACAGUUUGGUUUCUGAACAAAGUUAUGAAACUAAGAGAAGAUACGGGCUUCUUCAUCAACUUUUUUAAAACACCAAAGAAAAAUCAUGUUUAAAGGUGAUGCUAUUAGCCGAAGACAACAGAAAAAGGAUGGCAACUUUCCCUAUAGAGAGCUCAAGAUGUGUGUGUCGUCAAUGCUUCCGGGACCCCUCCUGGGCUUCAGCAAGCACGCAGGCCAUGGCUAACAUUUCCAACCCUGAAACCCAGCCCUCCAAGAAAAGAGUAAAUCAAAAUACAUAACGUAGGGUGAUGCAGGGCUACUUCUUUCAUUUCAUCUUCACAGCACAGAGCUCUCUCUGCAAGACAGAUACGCAAGUGUAUUAAGCCCACUGACACCUCUCCAAAAGCUUAUUUGCUGGCUAAUUAGACAGUUGAAAAGAUCAACAGGUCGAUGGAAUUGAGAUAACGCUAUCCAAUGCAAUUACUACAAUUGCAAUAUUUUAGGAAUUGAAGCACAACUCCAUUCGACCUAUGCCAAAAAGUCUAUACACAGAAGUCCGCACUUAGGUGGUUAUUUUUCUCUAUCGGUUCAUAAUUGCCUUCUGUUUUUAAUCACAGCUUCUUUCUCCAACUGUUGCAAAGAUGGCACUGUUGUUUUUUCCUGCGUAGCCUGAAGUCCCCAGUGGCUACAGUCCACUUCUCUCCACCGCUGACGUUUAAGGUGCUGACAGCCCCCAAGCGCCCGAGGGAUCCUGCUAUCUUCAGCAAGGUCUCAUUUCAUUUAAUUUCAUAUUUAAAGCUUCCGUGACCUUUUUGAACAUGUAAAUGAUAAAAAUACUUUCACACACAGAUGUAUCGAGCGCCACAUCCACCUAGGCUUGUUAAUAAACCUCGUUGCUCUGUUUCUGCUGGCCCGUGGCUAUAUUAGCUGUCUGCUCGCCUUAUUUGUGAGAUAUAAAUAGCCAGGGACUGCACACUCGCUGUCUAGUUACAUUGAGAUAACGGUGAUUUUAAUACUCUUAAACAAGCCUGUCUCCUGACGUGGGUCUGUCCAGAAUGCUCACUCUUACCUAUCUUCCUUCUUCGUGUUUGAGUGGGAGAUUCGUAAGCAAAAUCUCUCAGCCACCAAACAUGCCAAUAGAAAACAAAAGGGCCACUGAAGGGCGUUUUUGCACUGUUCACACGCUGCUGUUGGAAAGAAAUUCUCCAUACCAUUUCUUAUGUUUGGGCUCAAUAACAUUUCAUACCCGUACCGCACAGUGGUUCUGACCCAGUCACGCUGCAUUGGCUGAAUCAGAAAGUCCCAGACUCAUCUCAGGGCUAUGCUGUAUCAUUCUUACUGCAAAUUGAAGAUAGCUGGUACCCCUUCCCAAAAGGCCUCGAGCCUCAGCACAGUAAUGCCUUACAGUGAAGUAAAGCAGAGAGAGGCAGAGAACUACACUCAGUAAGGGAUUGAACUAACAACAGAAUUUAAACAGGAUUUAGGUGAGGAUUGGCAUCUAAAUACACAGUUGUGAGCUAAAGACCCUUGGCUCUCAGGGCACCUCCUUCUGUGACCGAAAAGGUCUCUAGGGCCGCUGUGAGGGUACAGAGGGAGAACUGCAUCCUGGCUUCCCAGCGUCUAUUUUUCUGCUGAACUAAGUGCACGUGCCCUGUAAGGCACGCCCAGAGCACGCUGGACACCCUGCCUUAGCCCCGGGUCGCGCCACUUGUUCGGGUAUCGUUUGGGUAACCGAUCUUUCAGUGCUAAAUGCCGACUACAGCAUCCUCAGAGAGAAGCUCUCUCUCUUGGAGAAGCUGAUAGCCCUAAGCACAGCAUUACAGAGCGCUGAGAGUCCCCCACAGGAACAUGCUGCCCCUGGAGGACGGCUAGUCUAGUUAGGACCUAAUGCAAACCAUGGGAGUACAGGUAUCUGUGGAAUAACAUACCAGUUUGACUGCGUACAAAAUGAGAUACAAUGAGUAAGUUCAUCAAGGACAUUAUCACCUCUGGAGAAGUCAUUUACAAUAGCUGCGAUGAGUAACAUCUCACUCCAUGACUGUUGACUUCCAUCUUCCCCUAUAGUUACAUGGAUUACCCUGGAAGCAAUGCCUCCUCUUUAUUUCUACAGAAACUACAGUGAAUAAAAAGAGCACAAGAACGCUAUUUGAUAGUGUUUUGAGGCUGAGAACUUGCUCUGCUUUUCAACAUAGUCACCGCUGCUAGCUAUAGACUUUGUCGCAUGGCUAUAUCUAAGUAUGCACGCAUUAUUACGUACUUGUGAAAACUUUUCCACAUAGCUGUGCUGUAAUUUGCAUCCACAUCUUACACUUACAUCCGUAAGAGGACUUCUGCCGGGCACGGGUGAGCACCGUUGGACUAUACAAUGCUUGAUAGCUGGGGGCAACAGUGCAGUGGCAACAACAGAGAAGUGAGGUGCAGCAGCAGGGGAUGCAGAAAAGAAAGAAACUCCUUACCUUUACAAGACCUGUAAAAUCCUCAAGGGUGCAGAGAGCUCUAGAAGACACUCUUUCUCCUCCCCCUGCUGGCCCUUAAAUGAGGUCUGGGAAGGGGUGGAUCCUGGCUCCACCCCUUCUAAUUGGCUGCAUUGCGUUCACCUGGGUUGGCCCUGCCUUCCACCAGGUGCUCAAUCACUGCUUCAGACCGUGACUUGACGUCUCUUAUGCAGACAUCAAUAAAAUCUCUGACUUGAUUUUUGGCUGCGUAAGGAACUGUACGUCAGAGUCGUGGUUUUCUUCCAGUUCCUCUCUACUGAGUUCACUGCUUCUUCUUUACUUGUUAUUCAGUGCUUGCUGUCUUCCCAUCAGCAGCCGUCCACCUUCGAAGCGAUUGGUGUCGGAUGUCAUUUCUCAUGGCCGGUUUCCCUGGCUUUCGCUAAUGCAAACUGAUGUACAACAUUUGCACUUUGGAGCGGUUCGAAGCAGUGAUUUCCAUUUUCAUACCCUCGUGCGCUUCGUUCAGUUAUUUCUUCUGCAGUACUUGUUGCCCUCCUCACACUGAAAAAAAAAGUGAAGCAGAACUUCGAUUAGGUCUAUGCAAGUUAUCCUCCAGCCUGUAAAAUAGCCUUCCUGCACCAUAAUCCAUUUUCUUUGCUUCUGAUAGCUACCUGUCUAAACAAGUCCUUGCUGUUUGUAUUAAAGUCCAUGCCCACGUGCCCAAUGCUUUCUGAAAAAUGACUUCCGUUCUCAUUUUGUUUCCUUACAUAAAAGCGCCUAGGAUCCAUUCCUCCAAAGCUAUGCUUUUUCUCCAUGCUACUUACUAACAUAAUGCUCCUCCCGGUCAGCUCAGGAACCUUCCCUGGCACUCUGUGGACGCACGGUUUGCCACUCAGGUUUUUCACAGGGUGCAUAAUCGUGGUGUAAUUCCUGUGUUUCGUGACUCACAGCGCGCUCUAAACUGAAGUAACUCAGCAGGCUUCAAGAGAAGCACGGUUUUAUGGUCAGUCAGGUCUGACUAAACUGUUGCGUGCAUUUCAGAGCAUCCUACAGAAUAUUUGUAUUGUAUUCUAAAGAAUACAAGUAAUAUACCUAUUAGCCUGCCCAGAAACAUUCCUGGGGCAGCUGGGGAGAAAAACAGUGACGUGCCGUUUAGUGGCCUUGAAGCGGGAUGCGCGCAAAGGUCUCCUCUGGGGGGUAUCAAACGCAAGGAUAUAGUAUUGCAUUUAUUGUUGGGCUCAGAUCUCCAUUGGCCUGAGGUUCUUGACUCGCGUAUGUUUGCACGAGCGGGUUUUUCACGAGCCUAUUCCUGCCUGCCCAGAUAUUUUUCCGUGGCACGUCAUAUUCUUUUGUUUUCCCCCGCUCAGAAGUGAAGUCUCUGUCAGCAGGGCUCUUCCUGUCUUUCUCGCCAGCUGCCUUCAAACAGAGAUUUUAACCGAUACUUCAGACGUUCAGGGUGGGUAUUCCCUUUCUCAUCCCUCUGGAAACUCGCCGAAGCCGCCGCUGUUUUAUUUGCCAAUACUGGAGGCCUAUUUUUAUAGCCAGAGCUCAAGGUGUGUCUAAACCAGGCCUUAAAUUUUUGGACCGAUCUUGACAGCUCGUUGUUAAAG
ensembl:lncRNA